rnacentral:rRNA from 1 species
UACGUAGGGGGCAACGUUGUCCGGAAUCAUUGGGCGUAAAGAGCUCGUAGGUGGCUUAGUAAGUCGGGUGUGAAACCUCCAGGCUCAACCUGGAGACGCCACCCGAUACUGCUAUAGCUUGAGUCCGGUAGGGGAGCGUGGAAUUCCCAGUGUAGCGGUGAAAUGCGUAGAUAUCAGGAAGAACACCAAUGGCGAAAGCAGCUUUCUGGGACGGUACUGACGCUGAGACGCGAAAGCGUGGGGAGCGAACAGG